GUGGGGAAUCUUGCGCAAUGGGCGAAAGCCUGACGCAGCCAUGCCGCGUGAAUGAUGAAGGUCUUAGGAUUGUAAAAUUCUUUCACCGGGGACGAUAAUGACGGUACCCGGAGAAGAAGCUCCGGCUAACUUCGUGCCAGCAGCCGCGGUAAUAUGAAGGGGGCUAGCGUUGCUCGGAAUUACUGGGCGUAAAGGGCGCGUAGGCGGACAGCUUAGUCAGAGGUGAAAGCCCAGGGCUCAACCUUGGAAUUGCCUUUGAUACUGGCUGUCUUGAGUUUGGGAGAGGUGAGUGGAACUCCGAGUGUAGAGGUGAAAUUCGUAGAUAUUCGGAAGAACACCAGUGGCGAAGGCGACUCACUGGCCCAAUACUGACGCUGAGGCGCGAAAGCGUGGGGAGCAAACAGGAUUAGAUACCCGAGUAGUCC
rnacentral:rRNA from 1 species